CCUACGGGAGGCAGCAGUAGGGAAUCUUCCACAAUGGGCGAAAGCCUGAUGGAGCAACGCCGCGUGAGUGAUGAAGGCCUUCGGGUUGUAAAACUCUGUCAUUCGGGACGAACCGGAGUCUGAGGAAAUGCAGACUCUCUGACGGUACCGGAGGAGGAAGCCCCGGCUAACUACGUGCCAGCAGCCGCGGUAAUACGUAGGGGGCAAGCGUUGUCCGGAUUCACUGGGCGUAAAGCGCGCGCAGGCGGUGAUGUAAGUCUGAGGUGAAAACCCGAAGCUCAACUUCGGGACUGCCUUGGAUACUGCGUCACUUGAGGAUAGGAGAGGCAAGGGGAAUUCCACGUGUAGCGGUGAAAUGCGUAGAGAUGUGGAGGAACACCUGUGGCGAAGGCGCCUUGCUGGCCUAUUUCUGACGCUGAGGCGCGAAAGCGUGGGGAGCAAACAGGAUUAGAUACCCUGGUAGUCCACGCUGUAAACGAUGAGUGCUAGGUGUAGGUGGGCUCAUACCCAUCUGUGCCGAAGCUAACGCAUUAAGCACUCCGCCUGGGGAGUACGGUCGCGAGCUGAAACUCAAAUGAAUUGACGGCUUGAGGACGNGCGAGGCGACGACGAGGGAGAGG
rnacentral:rRNA from 1 species